rnacentral:rRNA from 1 species
AACGCUGGCGGCGUGCUUAACACAUGCAAGUCGAACGGUGAAGGAGGAGCUUGCUCCUCCGGAUCAGUGGCGAACGGGUGAGUAACACGUGAGCAAUCUGCCCCGGACUCUGGGAUAAGCGCUGGAAACGGCGUCUAAUACCGGAUACGACGCGGGAGGGCAUCCUCUCCGCGUGGAAAGAAUUUCGGUCCGGGAUGAGCUCGCGGCCUAUCAGCUUGUUGGUGAGGUAACGGCUCACCAAGGCGACGACGGGUAGCCGGCCUGAAAGGGUGACCGGCCACACGUGGACUGAGACACGGCCCAGACUCGUACGGGGGGCAGCAGGGGGGAAUAUUGCACAAUGGGCGCAAGCCUGAUGCAGCAACGCCGCGUGAGGGACGACGGCCUUCGGGUUGUAAACCCCUUUUAGCAGGGAAGAAGCGAAAGUGACGGUACCUGCAGAAAAAGCACCGGCUAACUACGUGCCAGCCGCCGCCGUAAAAC